UCUCCACAACACUGGUUGUCCUGGCAACUGGUUCACUUAGUUCUUUUUUCUUCAGAAAUCCAGGAAUGAGAUCUUUGUCUUGGAUGUUCUGAGUAUACUUUUCCCUCCUUUUCCAUCCAGAUUUUAGGGAAUCGUAUUUCCCUAAGGAUCUUCAGUAGUUUUCUCACUUUUAUCCUUCAUUCCAGAGAGAGGGAACUGCUGGCUGGGGAGCAGUUACCUGAGUUCUGAGUGUAGAACACAGAGAAAAAAGCCUUGAGCUCAUACAAGCAGAGUUCUGUGCAGGGAGAUAUCUAGAGAAGGUUUCUUUAGCUCUCUGCCUGUAUGAUGUGUCUGUUCUGUCUGAUACUGAAGCAGUAUCGAGAAAAGUGGAUGUUGGGAGAGAUCUCAUAAGACCUUAGAGUUUAACCCAUAUUUAACUUCUAGGAGGUAAAGGAGUCAUUUGGCCAGCCAAUUACAGAGCCAUGGAAAAAGUCCUGAUGGUACAAGGACUUGGAAUCAGAAUCUCUAGUUUUUAUCUACCAUGUAGUGGUAAUUUUGGGGACUACUUAAGAAGAUUGAAUUCCAGAGGCUGACUAGAUUUUAAGAUCAGGACGUAACUCUCAACCACUUCUCCAGCACCAUGUCUGCCAUACCUGCUGCUGUGCUCCCUCCAAAGAUAAUGAACUAAGCAUUUGGAACUGUGAAUUUGAAAUCAAAUUCCUUCUCUAAAGGAAAGGGUACACAACUUCUAUUUUCCUGAGAGAGCAUCACCAAAGUCACAGUUUGUCGACUUCACUUCUCAGCCGUCUAUUACGUAGGUCCUGAGAUAUCAGGACUACAUUUAAGUAUUCGUCUGCCUGUGGACCAUGAAUGACUUCAAAUUCUUUGACGACAUUAAAAUAUUCAUGAUCCUGGUGGUGAAGAAUGGCCCCUUUUCCAGUACAGCUCAUGAAUUAAUUCAAUAGCCUUGGAAUAAAAGAGCUUUUCUCUCCUUAUGAAGAUGCAUAUUGUUGUGCCUGGGAGAUCCAAGGACCACUGCAAGAGAAACCACUGACCUCUGGAUUUCAGCUAGGCAGAGGGUAGCACCAGUCCACCAGAGGAAAGAAGAGUCAAACCAGGAACAUGCUACGGAAGCACAGUAUCCAUAAGCUGCAUCUUAAAUACUUUUGAGGAUGUUGCUGUUCCUGUAAUCAUGGGUUACGGUGGGCCUGUACCUCUUUGCCUACUUCAAGUACAUGUGGCAGUGGGGCCAGUGGCUUCCUACUCUUGAUGUACUUGCACUGAAGAAUAUUUGCCUUCUUAAUCCA